rnacentral:rRNA from 1 species
AUUGAACGCUGGCGGCAGGCCUAACACAUGCACGUCGAACGAGUGGCGGAUGGGUGAGUAAUGUCUGGGAAACUGCCUGAUGGAGGGGGAUAAAUACUGGAAACGGUAGCUAAUACCGCAUACCAUCGGUUCUGCCCAGAUGGGAUUAGCUCGUAGGUGGGGUAAAGGCUCACCUAGGCGACGAUCCCUAGCUGGUCUGAGAGGAUGACGAGCCACACUGGAACUGAGACACGGUCCAGACUCCUACGGGAGGCAGCGGUGGGGAAUAUUGCACAAUGGGCGCAAGCCUGAUGAAGCCAUGCCGGGUAUAUGAAGAAGGCCUUCGGGUUGUAAAGUACUUUCAGCGGGGAGGCGUUACCCGCAGAAGAAGCACCGGCUAACUCCGUGCCAGCAGCCGCGGUAAUUC